rnacentral:lncRNA from 1 species
UCGCGGCUCGCCCCCAUUUAUUAACAUUUCUGAUCAACGAUGACCAUCUCAAUUCCCCAACGGAACAAUUUCGGGUAUAAAUUGAAGUUUUGCUUGGUUUUAAUAUUUUUGGACUGUUAUUUGUUAACGUUUGCUCAUUUCUGUCUACUUUGAAUCUUUGAUUAAUAAAAUUUAUUAAUAAACUUUCUGCUUUCUUGUUUUGCAGAUAUUAAAUAUUAAGACUAUGUUGAUUGAAAAUUUCAUUUCCGUACCUUUUGUAAAUUUUACCACAUGAAAUAAAAUCUAAACUCUUGCGGCUCGUCCCCAUUUAUUAACAUUUUCGAUCGACGAUCGACCAUCUCAAUUCCUCAACAGAAUAGCUUCAAUUCGGGUAUAAAUUGAAGUUUUGCUGG